CCCAGGGCAGCCUGCAGGACCAGAGCCCAUCCCAGCAAAGGGAAGCAGGGACACAGCCCCUCUGCCCAGCCAGCACCUGCUAACCAGCCCUCUGCUGAACUUCACAGUUAAUAAUUUCCCCUCCCGCUUAUUUCCUUAAUGCCUGGGAGAUUUCGCUGCACGUUUGCUGGGAUCAGUUCAUUAAAAUACUAAUUUCCAGCGGUAAUUAUCUGUGUGUGAGCGCUGCCCGUGGAAGCGGCGCUAGCGCUGAUACGCUCUCAGCUGCAGGAGACUUCCCAGAUGCUCCAGUGCCUGGAAUCUCUGGGCUGGAGCCACCGUGGUGCUCAGCUGGAGCCUGGCUGGCAAAGAUUUCUGGGGGGAAACGCUUCAAGAGCCGUAGUUCAGCAUGAAGGCUGUUCUGUGGGCAGGGACGGAAAACUGCUGUAGCUGUUGGAAAUGAACCUGACUUCACUGAAGUUGUCAUGAGGGUUUUUUAUGCCUUGUAAAGUUUAAAUUAAAAAUCAAUUAUGGAAGAGCCCUUAAUCUCCUCUCCGGAGUUGUUUUGGGUUUGGACGUUAACUCUGAGACCCCGAUGACCUCUCUCAGUGCGAAACGCGACACAGCAAAGGCUGGUUUUUCUCUCUUCCCACUCAUGUGCAAUUAUUCAAUUUUUUACUGCAUUAUGAAGAGGAGAGUUUUAAUAAUCAAACCAGAUUAAAAGAAUGAAAGGAUGCUUCUGACGAGUUAGAAACAAAGAGAAGCUGUGCAUUUCUAGCAGAUUUCAAGCUCUGUAUUAUUACAACGCGUAAGAGAUGAUUAACAAAGAAAAAUAUUACAGUUAUCUACUCCCUUUGAGAGCUUAACUAAUGAACCUCUACCAGCUGCUCUUGAAAAAUCAGUAACACUAUCACUAUCAAUUUCAAGACAAAGCACAGCUGACAGAUGUUUGAAGUGAUAAAUCAGGCUGCACAAGGAUUAAAAUAACAAGCCCCAAAUGGCCUUUAAAAGACAAAGGUGCUGCAGUGAACUAUUUUCAGCCACUUUGGAUCCUGUCAAAAGUUAGAUCACUGAUACAAUUAUCUUGCAAAACAGUAAUGACCAAAAACUGAGAAUGCCGUGCUUCCCUGAAUACUACUUCUGGGAAUGAGUGAUGAAAGUGAGCACUGGGCUGAAGCAUUAAAUGCUGCAUUUUCUAACAACCUGCCGGUGAUGUGAUGGAGAUAAAGAUCCCAUUCCUGGAGAACAGUGUGUGUGCUUCCAAACUCCACUGCCUUUAGUGGGAGACAACUGUAGCCAGGGGAGAGUGAGCAGAAACAAAUCCCAAGUUUCCGGACUUUGUCCCAGCUUUC